GAUGAACGCUGGCGGCGUGCUUAACACAUGCAAGUCGAACGGUGAACGAGGGAGCUUGCUCCCUCCGGAUCAGUGGCGAACGGGUGAGUAACACGUGAGUAACCUGCCCUUGACUCUGGGAUAAGCGUUGGAAACGACGUCUAAUACCGGAUACGACGCGCGAAGGCAUCUUCUGCGCGUGGAAAGAAUUUCGGUCAAGGAUGGACUCGCGGCCUAUCAGCUAGUUGGUGAGGUAACGGCUCACCAAGGCGACGACGGGUAGCCGGCCUGAGAGGGUGACCGGCCACACUGGGACUGAGACACGGCCCAGACUCCUACGGGAGGCAGCAGUGGGGAAUAUUGCACAAUGGGCGCAAGCCUGAUGCAGCAACGCCGCGUGAGGGACGACGGCCUUCGGGUUGUAAACCUCUUUUAGUAGGGAAGAAGCGAAAGUGACGGUACCUGCAGAAAAAGCACCGGCUAACUACGUGCCAGCCGCCGCUGUAA
rnacentral:rRNA from 1 species